UACGAAGGGUGCAAGCGUUGCUCGGAAUUAUUGGGCGUAAAGCGCACGUAGGCGGCUUUGCAAGUCGGAUGUGAAAUCCCUCGGCUUAACCAAGGAAGUGCAUCCGAAACUGCAGAGCUUGAGUACUUAAGAGGAUCGCGGAAUUCCCGGUGUAGAGGUGAAAUUCGUAGAUAUCGGGAGGAACACCAGUGGCGAAGGCGGCGAUCUGGGAAGAUACUGACGCUGAGGUGCGAAAGCGUGGGGAGCAAACAGG
rnacentral:rRNA from 1 species